GACGAACCGUGCGAACGUUGUUCGGAAUCACUGGGCUUAAAGGGCGCGUAGGCGGCCCGCCGCGUCCGGGGUGAAAUCCCGUGGCUCAACCACGGGACGGCCUCGGAUACGGGCGGGCGUGGGAGGGGGGGUAGGGGCACGCGGAACUGUGGGGUGGAGCGGUGAAAUGCGUUGAGAUCCACAGGAACUCCGGUGGCGAAGGCGGCGUGCUGGACCCCACCUGACGCUGAGGCGCGAAAGCCAGGGGAGCGAACGGG
rnacentral:rRNA from 1 species